rnacentral:tRNA from 1 species
GGAUCCUCCGGAACCACAAGAAUCCUUAGUUAGAA